rnacentral:tRNA from 1 species
GCCUGAGUGGCUCAGCGGUUGAGAGUCUGCCUUUGGCCCAGGGCAUGAUCCCAGGAUCUGGGAUCGAGUCCCAUCUCAGGCU